rnacentral:rRNA from 1 species
AAGUCGAGCGCAGGAAGCAAGUUGAUCCCCUUCGGGGGUGACGCUUGUGGAAUGAGCGGCGGACGGGUGAGUAACACGUGGGCAACCUGCCUGUAAGACUGGGAUAACCCCGGGAAACCGGGGCUAAUACCGGAUAAUACUUUCUUUUGCAUAAAGGAAAGUUGAAAGGCGGCUUCGGCUGUCACUUACAGAUGGGCCCGCGGCGCAUUAGCUAGUUGGUGAGGUAACGGCUCACCAAGGCGACGAUGCGUAGCCGACCUGAGAGGGUGAUCGGCCACACUGGGACUGAGACACGGCCCAGACUCCUACGGGAGGCAGCAGUAGGGAAUCUUCCGCAAUGGACGAAAGUCUGACGGAGCAACGCCGCGUGAGUGAUGAAGGUUUUCGGAUCGUAAAACUCUGUUGUUAGGGAAGAACAAGUUGGGUAGUAACUGACCCAACCUUGACGGUACCUAACCAGAAAGCCACGGCUAACUACGUGCCAGCAGCCGCGGUAAUACGUAGGUGGCAAGCGUUGUCCGGAAUUAUUGGGCGUAAAGCGCUCGCAGGCGGUCCUUUAAGUCUGAUGUGAAAUCUCGCGGCUCAACCGCGAACGGUCAUUGGAAACUGGAGGACUUGAGUACAGAAGAGGAGAGUGGAAUUCCACGUGUAGCGGUGAAAUGCGUAGAGAUGUGGAGGAACACCAGUGGCGAAGGCGACUCUCUGGUCUGUAACUGACGCUGAGGAGCGAAAGCGUGGGGAGCGAACAGGAUUAGAUACCCUGGUAGUCCACGCCGUAAACGAUGAGUGCUAGGUGUUAGGGGGUUUCCGCCCCUUAGUGCUGAAGUUAACGCAUUAAGCACUCCGCCUGGGGAGUACGGCCGC